GACGAACGCUGGCGGCGUGCUUAACACAUGCAAGUCGAACGGAAAGGCCUCUUUCGGGGGGUACUCGAGUGGCGAACGGGUGAGUAACACGUGAGUAACCUGCCCUUGACUUUGAGAUAACUUCAGGAAACUGGGGCUAAUACCGGAUAGGAGCUCCUGCUGCAUGGUGGGGGUUGGAAAGUUUCGGCGGUUGGGGAUGGACUCGCGGCUUAUCAGCUUGUUGGUGGGGUAGUGGCUUACCAAGGCUUUGACGGGUAGCCGGCCUGAGAGGGUGACCGGCCACAUUGGGACUGAGAUACUGCCCAGACUCCUACGGGAGGCAGCAGUGGGGAAUAUUGCACAAUGGGUGGAAGCCUGAUGCAGCAACGCCGUGUGCGGGAUGACGGCCUUCGGGUUGUAAACCGCUUUCGCUCAUGACGAAGCUUUGUGUGACGGUAGUGGGUAAAGAAGCACCGGCUAACUACGUG
rnacentral:rRNA from 1 species